rnacentral:rRNA from 1 species
UACGGCGAGUGAGCGGCAAAAGCUCAAAUUUGAAAUCUGGUACCUUCGGUGCCCGAGUUGUAAUUUGGAGAGGGCAACUUUGGGGCCGUUCCUUGUCUAUGUUCCUUGGAACAGGACGUCAUAGAGGGUGAGAAUCCCGUGUGGCGAGGAGUGCGGUUCUUUGUAAAGUGCCUUCGAAGAGUCGAGUUGUUUGGGAAUGCAGCUCUAAGUGGGUGGUAAAUUCCAUCUAAAGCUAAAUAUUGGCGAGAGACCGAUAGCGAACAAGUACAGUGAUGGAAAGAUGAAAAGAACUUUGAAAAGAGAGUGAAAAAGUACGUGAAAUUGUUGAAAGGGAAGGGCAUUUGAUCAGACAUGGUGUUUUGUGCCCUCUGCUCCUUGUGGGUAGGGGAAUCUCGCAUUUCACUGGGCCAGCAUCAGUUUUGGUGGCAGGAUAAAUCCAUAGGAAUGUAGCUUGCCUCGGUAAGUAUUAUAGCCUGUGGGAAUACUGCCAGCUGGGACUGAGGACUGCGACGUAAGUCAAGGAUGCUGGCAUAAUGGUUAUA